rnacentral:tRNA from 1 species
GCCCCCGUGGUAUAGCCCGGUCAACUACGCGGCCGAAAGUAUGUCGGCCUUUCGAGCCGAAGAACCCGGGUUCAAAUCCCGGCGGGGGCACCA